AGAUAUUUACAUAUAAAUGGAAACCCCAUAGGGCUAUCAGGGGAUUUUUCAGCAGAAACGUUGCAGGCCAGAGGGAAUGGUAUAAUAUAUUCAAA